GACAGCAGUCGCCGCGGGAAUACGGAGGGUGCAAGCGUUAUCCGGAUUUAUUGGGUUUAAAGGGUCCGUAGGCGGAUCUGUAAGUCAGUGGUGAAAUCUCACAGCUUAACUGUGAAACUGCCAUUGAUACUGCAGGUCUUGAGUAAAUUUGAAGUGGCUGGAAUAAGUAGUGUAGCGGUGAAAUGCAUAGAUAUUACUUAGAACACCAAUUGCGAAGGCAGGUCACUAAGAUUUAACUGACGCUGAUGGACGAAAGCGUGGGGAGCGAACAGGAUUAGAUACCCGGGUAGUCCCUGUCUCUUAUAA
rnacentral:rRNA from 1 species